ACAGAGGCCACAGUGCAAGGGGUCGGGAAGAGCGCCCUGCGGAGGUGGUAACGUCCGAGUUUGGCCCCCUUGCCGAGGCCACUGCAAA
rnacentral:ribozyme from 1 species